CAGCCGCCGCGGUAAUACCGGCGGCCCGAGUGGCGGCCACUAUUAUUGGGCUUAAAGCGUCCGUAGCCGGGUUGGUUAGUCUCCCGGGAAAUCUGGCCGCUUAACGGUCAGAAUUCCGGGAGAUACUGCCAGCCUAGGGACCGGGAGAGGCCGAGGGUAUUCCCGGAGUAGGGGUGAAAUCCUAUAAUCCCGGGAGGACCACCUGUGGCGAAGGCGCUCGGCUGGAACGGGUCCGACGGUGAGGGACGAAGGCCAGGGGAGCAAACCGGAUUAGAUACCCGGGUAGUCCUGGCGGUAAACGAUGCGGACUUUGUGUCGGACAAGCUAUGAGCUGGUCCGGUGCCGGAGGGAAACCGUUAAGUCCGCCGCCUGGGGAGUACGGCCGCAAGGCUGAAACUUAAAGGAAUUGGCGGG
rnacentral:rRNA from 1 species